rnacentral:lncRNA from 1 species
CCGGCGUUGCCGAGAGCUGUGGUGUAGGUUGCAGACGCGGCUCGGAUCCCGCGUUGCUGUGGCUCUGGCAUAGGCCAGUGGCUACAGCUCUGAUUCAACCCCUAGCCUGGGAACCUCCAUAUGCCGCGGGAGCGACCCAAGAAAUAGCAAAAACAAACAAACAAACAAACAAAAAAACCCAAAAAAACAGGGGAUGUCGGGUCCAGACUGGUUGCUUCUGAGUUCAGACACUCCAUUGCCGUGAGGUGUGGGGCAGACAGUCAAGCGGAGCUGAACAUAGUAAAAGAUGAUGUUCAGUGUCUUACAAGCUGCUUUUCCCCUGAGGUUAAACUUGUGGUUUAGGGCUAAAGGGGGCUGAGGGAAGCUAGGACCCAGGGAAUUUUGCCUGGUUCCACAUUUACUGCUAGUUUAACUGUGGAGUUACCUUUCCACACCUCAGUCCCCUACGUGGGAAGAUGAUAAUAGUUCCUACGUCGUAGGAUUGUUGGGGGCAGCAAAUGAAAUAAUACACUUGCAUCACACUAGAAACACAAGUUAGUGAUUCAUAAUUCUUAGGUGCCAUUACAGGGGUGCUGUCUAGCAGUUAAGGCUGCAGGCUUAGAGUUCCCAUUGUGGCCCAGUGUUAACGAGCCAAAAUAGUAUCCAUGAGGACGCAGGUUCAAUCCCUGGUCUCACUCAGUGGGUUAAGGAUCUGGUAUUGCCAUGAGCUGUGGUGUACGUCACAGACGCGGCUUAGAUCCUGUGUUGCCGUGGCUGUGCUCUAAUUAGAGCCCUAGCCUGGGAACUUCCAUAUGCCUUAGGUGUGGCCCUAAAGGAUUAAAAAAAAAAAAAAAAAAAAAAAAAGAUGCAGUCUCGGAAGCUGACAACAUGAGGACAUGAGCCCAGAGAGGUCAAAUGACUUUCCAGGUCACACAGCUGGUGAAGACAAUACUGGUGGAUUCCCCAGGGAAAAGAAACCCUUCAGACGAGCAAACACGAUUUAUGGAGGGGAUGGAACAGCGCAUCUCACAGAGACCUAAGAAGAGACGGGCCGUCUGGAAAAUGAGGUGGGCAGCAGAUGGAAAUGGUUUCCAUUGUCUUUCCAAGGAGCCAGGGGGUCUCCGAUCUGCCACUGUUUCUGCUACUUCCCCUCUUAGGGGGGAUAGUCCUUAUUUUGAAUUCUUCAUGGCUUUGGCUUGUAUCGGCUGUGCCCUGAUGUUUUAGAACCGAAUAUUCUUUCAAGUAGCAUCUUCUUUCUCCACUGAACCUCUUGUCUCAAUCCCAGAUUCCUGAGGUUGGCACAGCCUCAGUCCCACGUGUAUCUCUGGUCCAGUUGGCAGCAGCUUGGAG